rnacentral:rRNA from 1 species
AUUGAACGCUGGCGGCAGGCCUAACACAUGCAAGUCGAGCGGAUGAAGGGAGCUUGCUCCUGGAUUCAGCGGCGGACGGGUGAGUAAUGCCUAGGAAUCUGCCUGGUAGUGGGGGAUAACGUCCGGAAACGGGCGCUAAUACCGCAUACGUCCUGAGGGAGAAAGAGGGGGAUCUUCGGACCUCACGCUAUCAGAUGAGCCUAGGUCGGAUUAGCUAGUUGGUGGGGUAAAGGCCUACCAAGGCGACGAUCCGUAACUGGUCUGAGAGGAUGAUCAGUCAAACUGGAACGGAGACACGGUCCAGACUCCUACGGGAGGCAGCAGUGGGGAAUAUUCGACAAUGGGCGAAAGCCUGAUCCAGCAAGGCCGCGUGUGUGAAGAAGGUCUUCGGAUGGUAAAGCACUUUAAGUGGGGAGGAAGGGCAGUAAGUUAAUACCUUGCUGUUUUGACGUUACCAACAGAAUAAGCACCGGCUAACUUCGUG